rnacentral:lncRNA from 1 species
AAAAUUAAGAUUAUUAUUCAAUUAAAUUAUUAUUCUUUUAGUUAUUGUAUGCCAUGUGUCAAAAAAAGACAAAUUUAUCAAAAAAAUAUUUUUUAUAAAAAUCUGGAAUCUACUCACGCGCCCAACCAGAGUGAGCCACACUUAUUUUGUCACAUAAGCAUUUUGUGUUUAAUAGGUAAAUGUUUUGAAUAGUUUAAGUGUUCAAUAGGUACAAGUCGUAGUUAAGGUGUCUAAGUGAAUUAUGCGGACAACUUUAAGGGGCCGUGAAUGACUUAAG